rnacentral:rRNA from 1 species
GAUGAACGCUAGCGGCAGGCUUAACACAUGCAAGUCGAGGGGUAUGGUUCUUCGGAACCAGAGACCGGCGCACGGGUGCGUAACGCGUAUGCAAUCUACCUUUUACUGAGGGAUAGCCCAGAGAAAUUUGGAUUAAUACCUCAUAGUAUAACAUGACCGCAUGGCCGAGUUAUUAAAGUCACAACGGUAAAAGAUGAGCA